rnacentral:rRNA from 1 species
UACAGAGGGUGCAAGCGUUGUUCGGAUUUACUGGGCGUAAAGCGUACGCAGACGGACCGUCAAGUCGGGAGUGAAAGCCUUGGGCUCAACCCAGGAACGGCUUUCGAUACUAGCGGUCUUGAGUUUGGGAGAGGGAAGCGGAAUUCCUGGUGUAGAGGUGAAAUUCGUAGAUAUCAGGAGGAACACCGGCGGCGAAGGCGGCUUCCUGGCCCAAUACUGACGUUCAGGUACGAAAGCGUGGGUAGCAAACAGG